GACGAACGCUGGCGGCGUGCUUAACACAUGCAAGUCGAACGGAAAGGCCCUGCUUGCAGGGUACUCGAGUGGCGAACGGGUGAGUAACACGUGGGUGAUCUGCCCUUCACUUCGGGAUAAGCCUGGGAAACUGGGUCUAAUACCGGCUAGGAGCCAUUUUUAGUGUGAUGGUUGGAAAGUUUUUUCGGUGUAGGAUGAGCUCGCGGCCUAUCAGCUUGUUGGUGGGGUAAUGGCCUACCAAGGCGGCGACGGGUAGCCGGCCUGAGAGGGUGGACGGCCACAUUGGGACUGAGAUACGGCCCAGACUCCUACGGGAGGCAGCAGUGGGGAAUAUUGCACAAUGGGCGCAAGCCUGAUGCAGCGACGCCGCGUGGGGGAUGACGGCCUUCGGGUUGGAAACUCCUUUCGCUAGGGACGAAGCUUUUUGUGACGGUACCUAGAUAAGAAGCACCGGCUAACUACGUG
rnacentral:rRNA from 1 species